UGAACUGCUGCCGCAUCAAAGCCCCACUGAGGGGUUGCCUUAAAUGAGAGAGAUGAAAUUGUUCCAGAACUUUGGGCAAUACACCUGCUCACUAACUUGUGUGGAGGGAUAUGAGGAUACGAGGCCUCAGCUAAGACUCUAAGGAGUCCUUGGCAGUGGCAAAACGUCUGGUUGGUUGGCCAAGGCCCUUGGAGGGAGGAAGAUGAGAAGAACAAAGACAGAGAAGUGUGAAUGAUGUUGGAAGCAGCUUCUUCCUCAGAACCUCUCAGAAAAAAGCCCAGCCUUGAUUUCAGCCUUCUGAGACUGCCUACAGAAAAGUCUACCUGGACUUCUGAUGUUCAGAACUGUGAGAGUCACCUCUAAGCACUGAUGCUGUCAGCCUCUACUUUAUAAAGAUGUACUUCUCUGACGUUUGGCUUUAAGGGAGAAUAACAGAGUAAUCAAUGGAAGAGUCGAAGGUUGAGCUCAAAAUAUGGAGGAAACAGUGAAGAAGAAAUGGAACUGAUGUUACAUGUUAUCUCAUCAGACUUCACAACAAUCCUGGGAGCUCAGCAAGGAAUGAUUACCCCACCCUGAAAUAAAAGGAUGCUGGGUC